GGGGAUAGCUCGAGGAAACUCGAAUUAAUACCGCAUACGACCGACGGGUGAAAGGGGGCGCAAGCACUUGCUAUUAGAUGGGCCUAAAUCAGAUUAGCUAGUUGGUGGGGUAAAGGCCCACCAAGGCGACGAUCUGUAACUGGUCUGAGAGGAUGAUCAGUCACACCGGAACUGAGACACGGUCCGGACUCCUACGGGAGGCAGCAGUGGGGAAUAUUGGACAAUGGGGGCAACCCUGAUCCAGCCAUGCCGCGUGU
rnacentral:rRNA from 1 species